CUCUACUUCUCUGUAGUGACCAGCAGGGGGCGACUCCUCUGCUCCCAUAGACGUCUAUGAGGAAAUGACUCUACUUCUCUCUGGAUUUAUUCCCUCAGUAAACGUUGUAAACAUCAGUUUAUGGUCUCAGUCUCUAGUUUAAAGUCUUCUUCAACACAACAUGAUGUUCAUUUAGUGAUUUAUGGUCCAUUUAGAGUCAAACAGACCAUGAAGCAGGGGAUGUUUUAAGGCGGGGCUAGACGCUGAUUGACAGGUCCCUAUAGAGACAUAAACAGCUUCUUUCCCACCUGAUGCUCCUUCCUGCUCCCUGCAGCCGUUGCCUCGGCGACACUGUAGAGCGACAGGUCGUAGCGGUCGACGUGACCUUGCGAGGGGCGCCAGGAGAAGGAGAGCGAGGAGGUGUUGGAGGAGGUGACGGUCAGAUUACUGACGGCCGCCGGACCUGAAACAGGAAAUUCAAAACAUGCUAAACUGCACAACAAACGGUUGCUGGAGAGCUUUUGGUCGGCCGGGGCGUCUGAUUGGUCGGCGUGACUCACGGGUCUGCCCCUCCGCCGUGGCCUCCGGCGACAGAACGCCGCCGCUGAGCGUGAUCACCUUCACCCGGUACCACCGCCCCGAGGUCAGGCCCUCCAGGCGCUCGCUGUGGCGCCCCGCCGGCACGGAGCGCUCGGCCAGGAGGACGCCGGCCUCGUCCAAUAGCUGCAGGCCGUAGCCGUCGUACACGCCCACGGGCCUCUCCCAGCUGACCGUCAGGCUGCGGGCGGUGUGGUCGUUGUCGGCCUGCAGGGCCGUGACGGCGGCCGGAGCUGCAGAGCACGGAAUGAACCACCAUCGUCACACGGAACCUUCUCCUCCCUCCUGAAUCAAUGCAGCGCUGUCUGACCCGUUCUGCCGCUCGCCGCUUUGCUGUUGUUCAGCUUGCCGCUCAGCGAUUGGACGGUGGCGGUGUAGGCGUGGCCCGGCGUCAGGUCCAGGAACUCCAGGUAGGACACGUGUUUGGGGACAGGACGAGUCUCUAUGACAACACCGUCCUGGAGACAGGAAGUGAGGACACAUCGAUCGAUGCUAUGAAUACGUUUUCAUACAGUUUGUCUUCUUUUCUCAGGGUCCUUUUAUAUCUAUAUCUAUAAAUAUAUAUAUACACAGAACACAUAUAUAUAUAUAUGGUAUAUAUUUGUAUUGUAUAUUUGUAUACAGUAUAUACGAUUAUCGUAUAUUACUAUGAGCUUAUCAAGGACAUGUUCCUCUGAGCCAGAUGUCUGCAGCUGGACUCACCGCAGUGGACAAGGACACAAUGUACAUGUCCAGGUCCCCGUCUCCAGGGGUCCAGGAGACCAGCAGCCCGCCGACGGGGGCCUUCAGGCCGGCGUAGGGCGCCAGGCGCAGGUUCCCCACCGCACUGGGAACUGCAGAAGAAGAGUCCUGGUUCAGAUGAAGCAACCUGGACCCCAGUGUCCCCCCCAGUGUCCCCGGUCCCAGUGUCCCGGUCCCAUGUCCCCGGUCCCAGUGUCCCCGGUCCCAGUGUUAGACACUCAACAAUGCGACGCAACUAGAGGAAGGGGGGCUGGACCGGGUGCAUUGCCCCCCCUCGAGGUCUCACCUGUCCGUCCCUCGAUGAACUGGGCCCUCUGGUUCGGCCCACUGAAGGUGGACACCACGAUCUUGUAGAGGCGUCCCGGGGUCAGGGAGGUCAGCCGGUGGCGUCGCGUCUCGCUGCCCAGCGUGACGGGGGGGAACGCCCUGACGUCGUUGAAGAGGAGCGUCACCUGGAGACCAGAGACCACGCGUAACCAUGACGACUCACUUUGUGAGUGGGUCCUAUGUAACGUGUGGGCGCACACCUCGUAGUGGUCCACAUCCCCGGGGGCGGGGCUCCACGCGACGGUCAGCUCGCCGGUUCCUUCGUUGCCUAGCGACAGGUUUCCAACAGCCGCCGGAACUAAAGGACGGGACCCAAAACGUCAACCCGACAACAUGGACCACCAGAACCUGGUCCCCGUGGUCACCGACUCACAUGUGCGUCCGUCGGUGGAGACGCUGGCCACGUACUCCCCGCUCCAGGUUUCCACGGUGAGGGUGUAGAGUCUCCCCGGCGUCAGCGACGAGAAGACGCACUCGUUGUGGGCGGCGGAGACGCUCUGGUUCUGAAGAACACUGUUGUUGUAACGGAUCAGAACCACGUAGCGGUCCAGGUCUCCUGCUGCACGGCUCCAGUACACCUGAGUACACAACACAGUACACAACACAGUACACCUGAGUACACAACACAGUACACAACACAGUACACAACACAGUACACCUGAGUACACAACACAGUACACAACACAGUACACCUGAGUACACAACACAGUACACCUGAGUACAGGAGGAACGCACCUUGAGGAAGUCGUCUCUCGCAGAGUGAACAGCUGUCGGGUUUUGAACGGUUUCUGGUUCUGAAAAUAAAAAACACUUUUACGUUGUGAUUUUUUAUUAGUUUUAGAGAAUUAAAGAAAUAAAACGGAACAUAAAAUACACAAAAAUUAGUAAAUUAAACUAAUAAUUAAGACAAAUUCACAAAAGAGUAAAAUAUCCUCACGCGUGCGCGCUUGAACCACGGUGGCGUUCUCCAGGCCGCCGCUCCUCGUCGCUAUGACGACGGCGUACAGUCGCCCGGCGACGAGCGAGCUGAAGGAGCACUCGGGGGCGGAGGAGUGCGACACGGCGAGCGCGUGGACGGUGCGACUCCCGUCCACCAGGCGCACCAGGUAGCUGUCCACCACGCCGGGGGCCGGGCGCCACGCCGCCCGCAGGGCGUCCGACCGGCCGCUGUUAGAGACCGUCACCUCGGAGACCGACGCCGGGGCUGAGGGUCAGAGGUCAACCCAUCAAGGUCGGGUUGUGUGUUUCAUUCAGAUAAUAAAAGGUUGUGUGAAGUCAAUAAGUGCAUAUCAUUCAGUUAAACAGUUAACUAAUACAAACUAUAUUAACUAUAACUAAUUAACUAUAUUAUUAUUAUUAUUAUGAGUAACGCUGGUUGUUUAUGAGCGCUGAUUGGUCGCCAUGUGAACGCACACAAACAGGCGCAGUUUGUUCUGAAAAUAACUGGGACAUUAUGUGGCAACACAAUAGGUGAAGGAAUGUGAGUGUGUGUGUGUGUGUGUGUGUGUGUGUGUGUGUGUGUGUG
ensembl:lncRNA